ACACGUAAUUUGCAAGAAUCGAAUGUUACACUUGGAAUAAUAACUCAACUGAUGAACGAAUCGCUUUAUUUCAAUCACUCAUUGGAAAUAUAUAUUCAAAAAAGUCAACUGAAGAGAUGUAGCUGAGGAAUUAAUGUUGCUUGCCACAUAUUUUUACGGAGACUAGGAGCCGAAAGGCUCAGCCGCAGUAUUGGAUUUAUCCCCAAAAAAAAAAAAACGUUCAUAACUUCUAAACUAAUUGUCGUAAAGACUUCGGAUUUGGCUCAAAAGAAGCGACUCAAGAAAUUCUAUCGCCCUUGAUAGAGAAAAGCGAUAUCUAUGCUGCCAUUUUUUUUUUUCCCAAAAAACAAAAAAAAAAAAAAAUUGUGUUUUUAUUUUUUUUUUUGCACGAAAAAUACUAUUCGUACGAUAAACAUUCAUUUGAAAAAGUUAUAGAAUUUUGAAGAACGAUUAUUUUAAGCCUAAUAUGAAACCUCUGCGACUACUCCAUUUUGAGUUAUAGCUUGUGCCGUUUUCAUUUUUUAGGCAAACAAUAACUCGUGAUGAAAUGGUGUUAGAGACUUCAUAUUAGGCUUAAAACAUGCGUAUUCGAAAAUUCUAUCGCCUCUCUGGAAAAAUUUUGAUCUAUGGAUCACAUUUUUUAUAAAAAUUGAAAAAAAACCAUUUUUUUUUUUUUUUUCUAAAUUUAGUUUUUAAAUAAAAAAAACAAAUGACUGAACAGAUAAUGCCCUUUCUCAUGAGGGGCGACGGAGUUUCUGAAGACGCGUUGUUUGAGCCUAAUACGAAGUCUCUACUACAAUUUUAUCAAAAGUUUUGUCUCCUUUGUUUCAAAAAUAGAAAAAAAUUGACUAUUGGAAUCAGGAUAAACUCCUUGAGGGGCGAUAGAGUUUCAAAAACCACGUUUUUUGAGCUUAAUAUGAAGUCAUUCCGUUAAUUCUAACAGAAGUUAUAGCUUGCCUUAACUUGAACGAAAAAAAAAAAAAAAUCGAGUUUCAGAAAAAUAAAAAAAAAUGUACUAUUAUUGUAUUGUUACUUUCAAAAACCAUUUAAGAGAUGAAAUUUAACACGGCCCUAGCCGGAGUAUUGAAACUUCUUAAUUUUUAAAAGUAACGUGGGCCACACGCCCCAACAAACGUUACCAGAUCUUUUUUUCGGUUGCAUUAAUUCCUUAGCUCCAUUUUUUCCUUAGCUACUAUUUUUCCUCGGUAUUUUAAUUUAUUUCAAUAAAUUGCACUGAUUUUUUUUGUCAAAUAAAUGAAUAAAAUACCAAUGAAAAGCAGUAGCUGAGGAAAACAUGUAUCUCAGGAAUUGAUGUUGUUUAAAACAUAAUUUUUUUGGAUACAUCUUUUUCUUAGCUACUACUUUUUCUCGGUAUUUCAAUUUAUUCACAUAAAUUGUUUUUAUUUUUUUCGUUAAAUAAAUGAAUAAAAUACCAAGGAAAAGCAGUAGCUUAGAAGGAGAUGUGGCUUAGGAAUUAACGUUGCUUACCGCACAAUUUUUUUGGCUACAUCUUUUUCUUAACAAAAUCUUUUCCUCGGACAUUAUUAUUU
rnacentral:lncRNA from 1 species